rnacentral:rRNA from 1 species
AUUGAACGCUGGCGGCAUGCCUUACACAUGCAAGUCGAACGGCAGCACGGGAGCAAUCCUGGUGGCGAGUGGCGAACGGGUGAGUAAUAUAUCGGAACGUGCCCAGUCGUGGGGAUAACGUAGAGAAAUUUACGCUAAUACCGCAUACGAUCUAAGGAUGAAAGCGGGGGACCGUAAGGCCUCGCGCGAUUGGAGCGGCUGAUAUCAGAUUAGGUUGUUGGUGAGGUAAAAGCUCACCAAGCCGACGAUCUGUAGCUGGUUUGAGAGAACGACCAGCCACACUGGGACUGAGACACGG